rnacentral:rRNA from 1 species
AGAAUCAACGCUGGCGGCGUGCCUAACACAUGCAAGUCGCACGAGAAAGGGGAGCAAUCCCUGAGUACAGUGGCGCACGGGUGAGUAACACGUGAAUAAUCUACCUCCGAGUGGGGAAUAACUGAGAGAAAUCUUAGCUAAUACCGCAUAAUACCCACGGGUCAAAGCAGCAAUGCGCUUGGAGAGGAGUUCGCGGCAGAUUAGUUAGUUGGCGGGUAAUGGCCCACAAGACGAUGAUCUGUA